rnacentral:rRNA from 1 species
CCUACGGGAGGCAGCAGUGAGGAAUAUUGGUCAAUGGGCGGAAGCCUGAACCAGCCAAGUAGCGUGCGGGAUGAAGGCCCUACGGGUCGUAAACCGCUUUUGCACGGGGACAACACCCUCCACUUGUGGCGGUCUGCAGGUACCGUGCGAAUAAGGGCCGGCUAACUCCGUGCCAGCAGCCGCGGUAAUACGGAAGGCGCGAGCGUUAUCCGGAUUUAUUGGGGUUAAAGGGAGCGUAGGCGGGCGUUCAAGUCAGCGGUAAAAUCGCGCGGCUCAACCGCGCCCCGCAGUUGAAACUGGAAGCCUUGAGUUCACAAGAGGCAGGCGGAAUGCGUGGUGUAGCGGUGAAAUGCAUAGAUAUCGCGAGGAACCCCGAUUGCGAAGGCAGCCUGCCGGGGUGCGACUGACGCUGAGGCUCGAAGGUGCGGGUAUCAAACAGGAUUAGAUACCCCUGUAGUC